rnacentral:rRNA from 1 species
UACGUAGGGUGCAAGCGUUUGUCCGGAAUUAUUGGGCGUAAAGAGCUCGUAGGCGGCCUGUCGCGUCGGCUGUGAAAACCCGGGGCUCAACCCCGGGCCUGCAGUCGAUACGGGCAGGCUAGAGUCCGGCAGGGGAGACUGGAAUUCCUGGUGUAGCGGUGAAAUGCGCAGAUAUCAGGAGGAACACCGGUGGCGAAGGCGGGUCUCUGGGCCGGAACUGACGCUGAGGAGCGAAAGCGUGGGGAGCGAACAGG